rnacentral:rRNA from 1 species
GUGAACGCUGGCGGUAGGCCUAACACAUGCAAGUCGAACGGCAGCACCGUAAGAGCUUGCUCUUACGGGUGGCGAGUGGCGGACGGGUGAGGAACACAUCGGAAUCUACUUUUUCGUGGGGGAUAACGUAGGGAAACUUACGCUAAUACCGCAUACGACCUACGGGUGAAAGCAGGGGAUCUUCGGACCUUGCGCGAUUGAAUGAGCCGAUGUCGGAUUAGCUAGUUGGCGGGGUAAAGGCCCACCAAGGCGACGAUCCGUAGCUGGUCUGAGAGGAUGAUCAGCCACACUGGAACUGAGACACGGUCCAGACUCCUACGGGAGGCAGCAGUGGGGAAUAUUGGACAAUGGGCGCAAGCCUGAUCCAGCCAUACCGCGUGGGUGAAGAAGGCCUUCGGGUUGUAAAGCCCUUUUGUUGGGAAAGAAAAGCAGCAGGUUAAUACCCCGCUGUUCUGACGGUACCCAAAGAAUAAGCACCGGCUAACUUCGUG